AUGGCGGCGGCGGAGGAGAGCAAAUGGGAGGAGUGGAAUAUGGUGGCGGCCGAGGAGAGCAAAGGGGAGGGGAGCUGCUCCACCUCGAUUCAUCAGGUCGCCCCCGGCAAGGAUUUCGUCAAUAUUCCCUUCUAUGCCGACGAGGGCCCUGCCUGGUCGCUGCUCGUCGGCGUCACGAGGGGCGACCUACGCUUCCACCGUCUUCGCGUGGCGAGAUCAGGGCGGAUCUCCGGUCGGAGCAACGAGGUGCUGGAGAUCUUUCACGACCUCAAAAAGCCGCCGGGGUGCAGCUUGAGGGCCGACGCCGCCUUGGCUCCAGACGGCCGCUCCCUCUGCGUCGUGCAGCAGGUGGAGAACGAGCAAACCCACGCCCUGCAGCUGCAGCUGGAAGCCGAGGAAAAGCUGCGGCCCCUCCCUCCGCUGGCUUGGAGAUCGCUUGGCCGGUGCAUGCCCAUCUCCGCGGACGGCCACAUAUGGGCGGUGUCCGCGAUCCAGCUUUCUGUCUCCAGUUUCCACCUGGUCAUGCAACGCCUCUUCACCCAAGAGGAAGAGGAUGCAGCGGGAGGUCGUUGGGAGCUGGUUGGCAGACCCUUCAAGGAAGAUUGCAAAUUCGACCGCUCCCUCCCCACCUGGGAUGGUAGCUUCCUCCAGGGCUACGUGGUGCUCCCUGGCCAUGGCCUGGAUGGGGGCACGCUGAUUUUGCUCUCCCUCCAAAAUGGCCUUUUCUUCACCUUCGAUUGUUCGGCCACCCCGGAGAUCCAGUGGACCAAGGUAACCCACACUUCAGACGAGUACUACCUCCCUAUCAAUGGCCGUGGCUUGUACGCACAAGAAAGCAAUGCCAUCUACAUGCUCUGGAACAACGUGGUCUACGAAUACAAGCUCACGGUGGUAGAUGAAGAGGAAGAGAGAGGGCUGACAAGGCUCAAGCUGCAUCCACCUGCGAGGAUUGACUCUGUUUGUCCUUUCAUUACAUUGAAAGGAGAUGGCUUCCUCACCCAUCUGGGCUGGGGGGUCAUGUGCUCUGUGUGGAUCAGCCUCGACCUCUCAUGCGGGUGUGACUACCUACAUGCCAUUGUUACCACCUUCCAAAUUGGUCCCCUGCCCGGGGAUGUCAAGGUCCUCCACUCCACCUUCCGUCGGGUGGACAUGUUGCCCAUGAAACACAUGGAUGAAUUUAAAUUAUGCUUUGUGCAAGAGUAUAUGGACGACAAGGUGUUGCCUCAACUCCAGGAAGAAGUCCUUGAUGAUCCUUGCAGGCAUUAUCUCCCACCAAGUCCUCCUAAGUACGUGAAGCCACAUAUCCAUAUUGACAAGGAUCUCUUGUUUAUUAUCUGCCAAGGUUGUUCACAAUCAUUUAUCUAUAGAUAUGAAAUCAAGAUGGAUGAGAUUCCAAUGUUAGAAAGAGCCCCUCCUCUCAAACCACAUUACAUUGUACAUGGAGAUGAUGAUGGUCCCAGGCACUUUUUUCUGAGUAGCUCAAAACUAUGUGCCAUCUCCUUCCUAAAAGAUGGCAUGGAUGUGUUUAAUCUGGACACCACAAGUCACACUAUGGAUAUACUUGCACGCCGACCUGUUUCCGUUGAUCCUUUUGUUAUGGUUAUCCGAGUUGGUCGAGCAACUUUUGCUCUUACCGAGACUCUCCAAGUUUACCGCAAGGCCUACCGUGUUUCUCCUCCUGGAUCCACCUCAUGGGUGCGCUAUCACACAAACCAGUCUAAUGUUCUUGACAGGAAGGUCAAGCUCUCGGGAUAUGUAGCAGUGGGUGAUGAUUCCUUUAUAGUCUCUGAUAGUGUCACAUGUUCUUGUCUUCUCUUUGAGGUGGGCGCCAAGCAGUGGCAUGUUGUCAUACCUUGGACUCAAUGGGGAGAAUACCUACCAAGGCCUAUGCCUAGACACAGCCUUUUAAAGGGCGCAUGUGUGUUUGUUGAUGGUUUUAUCUACACAUGCUCAAAUUGCGGGCUUGCUGCUUAUGAACUACUCUUUGAAAAUGAUCAUGUGUACCUCAAAGGCCCAAUCUUUUUGCCAUUCUCAUGGUUGAGUAAACAAUGGGAGAGUGAAAGAAUGUCUUUGGAUUAUGCUGGCAAAGAGGUGGACUCUGGUGCCAUCUUGCUUUGGGUGGUGCAAGGAAGAACGGCAGUCCUCCGGCUGCUCGCGCCGGCCAGCUCAGCCGUCAGUCGUGCGUGUGAAACUGAAACGCACGGCGCCGCGGCCGCGGCCGGAGGACUGCCGUUCUUCCUGCAUCGUUACAGUUUUUUUUAUUAA
rnacentral:rRNA from 1 species